rnacentral:misc_RNA from 1 species
AUGAGAUCAUGCCCUUCGGGGUAGACUUCCCACCCUUUGUUUACAAUACCUUUGUUGCUUUGGCGGCCCCGUCGCAAGACAACCGGCUCCGGCUGGUCAGCGGCCGCCAGAGGACUCAAAACUCAUAUUAUUAUUGUCGUCUGAGUACUAUAUAAUAGUUA